AGCUCGUCCGGGUCGACCGCCCUGGUCACCAGCAGGUAGUCGCGGAGGCAGAUGCCGUGGCGGCCCUC
rnacentral:antisense_RNA from 1 species